UUUAUGUUUAAUCUUCUUUUUUUCUCCAUUUUUUCUGGGUUUUAUUUGUGCUUUAAUAUGAAACCUUUUUUUUAGGUUUUUUUAAUGGUUGAUAAAUUUGGUCUGGAUCUGGGAAUUAGGCUUCAAGGUUGUUCUUUUAUAAAUGUUUUUUAUCUGAACUUUAAUGCCCUAUUUUUCUAUUGAAUUUUAAUGUUAGGGUCGUUUAUUGCUAUUUUUUCUAGCAUUUUUGAAUUCUUUGUGCUUUCGAUUUCAAUAUAAGUCUUUUUUGGCUUUGAUUGCGCUGUUGUGGUUAUGAACAGUGUUGUCAAGGGCGCAAGGUGCAUUUUGGGCGCUGGCAUCCUUAUAUUGCCUCAGGUGCAAGGCGCUACAAAAAGCGUUAGCCUGAGUGAAGUGAAGGGCAAUAUGCAUAUGUGUGAGUUUUUGAUGGUUGGAAUCACGAGUUAUGGAUGUAUUUCUAUUGCAUUGGGGUAAUGGCAACAGAAUUUAUCAUAUUCUAUGAGAUUAGUUUACUUAAAAGAUAUGAUACAUUAUCAAUUGACAACGAGAGAGAGCACGUUUGUAGCCAUUCAUACAUGGUCAUGGAUGCAUACAAGCGUGCUCUCUAUCGUUGUCAUGUGAUUUGUACAUGUCUCUCCUGGUGUUUAUUUGCUGCAAUAGCUAGCAGGAGUUUAGACCUAAGUUCACUCCAUCCUUGGAGCAUCUCAUUCUGAAGUCUCAUAAUGAUAAACAUAGCGGUUUACCAGGCAAUGUGUAGAACUGAAGUGAAGAUCAAUCAGUGAAACGUAAUAGGUUAAUUCUACGUCGAAUAACAUGACCCCCAAUCUUGUAUCUUCUUGUUUUGGAAGUGUUGACGAAAGACGUUUGGCAUCUCGUUUAGUAUCUCGUUUAUUAUUGGUCAACAUAAAACCUAAAAAUGUCACUGUUUUCCAAGAAUGCGCUUGUAUUGGAUUGGUAUUGGAGCUCUAUUAGAAAUUUUUUUCUCAUUUCACAUGUGGGGGUUGGCCUGCAUGCCGUAUCUCUCUUGCAUUCGAUGUGCAUGUUUGUUUGCCCUUCAUAGGGUGAUAGCAAUAUGUAUAUAUUAGCCUCUUUUUUAUAGCAAUAUGUAUUUGUUAGCCUUUUUGAGCUCUAAAUAUACUAUAUGCCAUGCUUGAACUGUCGAUGAGUUAGCCUUCCAUAUGUUAAGAGUUUCUGCAUUCGAUAGAUUCAGUUAUUGGUUUUGGCAGUUUUCUUUUUAAGUUCUUGUAUAGCAAUGUGCAUGCUUGUAACAGAGAUGAAUGAUAAUCUAGGACCCCUUCCAAGGUGUCGGGACCACCACUAAAUCCCCCAUCCAACCCUUUCGGGAAUGCAUUUUACAGUGUUGGUUCUGGACUGAGUCGAGGAGGAUUAGGCAAACACGAGUGUAGCGAUUUACAAUUUCUUUUUCCUUUAAAUCCUAACAAUACCAAUUUAGCGAUUCGGAUAGCUCAACAAAAUUCUGAGGUAAAACUAUUGAAGUAAAUCUCCCGAGUAGUUGGUCUGCUUCAAUUAACAGAUAAGCAAGUACUUCUCUGAUCCUCAGUAUUACUUCCAAGUGAUCGAUCAUGCAUGUAUGCAUGUAUGUGGAUCAUUUUAUUGUUUUGUUGCAUCUUUAGGGGCAUUGACAAUUACUGAGCCAGUUGGAGGGCAGCACUCCUAUAAACCUCCCAUUUAUGGCAUUUGCUACGAACUCGGUCCUUACUGGCAUCUCAUUAGGUCCAUCAGGGAAGUAAGUUCGAAUAGUUGUAAUGCUUUAAGAGCUUCAAAUUUGAUCUUUGCAUAAACAUCUUCGACUCUCUAGUUCGUGCCGGGCUCAGUCCAGAGGGGCCGGUUUCUCCAAGUAGUGCUGCUGUAAAGGUAUCAUUGGUUUCAUUAGGGGAAGGAGAUGCCCCAUUGCUUGAGUAAUUGCAUAUGCCGAAUAUUCUUUCGCCGGAUCGUAUUACUUCAUAGUUCUGUGGAUUUGUUUGUGCAUAGGCACCUUCUAAUAGCAGGAGAUUUAUUUAUUAACCCCAAAUUUAAUUUUUCCUUGUCUCAAUCCAAUCUUUUGUGCUUGGAAAUUUUGAUUAAUUAUCUUAUUUUAAUUGUGUUUUACACUUUGUUUCUUUGUUUUGAAAUAAACAAUGAACCCUAAUUUGCUGCAUAAUUAUUUGUUACUUGAAUAAGUGAACAAGAAUGAAGAUAACAAGUUUAUGCAAA